rnacentral:rRNA from 1 species
AGUCGAGCGAACAGACGAGGAGCUUGCUCCUUUGACGUUAGCGGCGGACGGGUGAGUAACACGUAGGUAACCUACCUAUAAGACUGGGAUAACUUCGGGAAACCGGAGCUAAUACCGGAUAAUAUUUCGAACCGCAUGGUUCGAUAGUGAAAGAUGGCUUUGCUAUCACUUAUAGAUGGACCUGCGCCGUAUUAGCUAGUUGGUAAGGUAACGGCUUACCAAGGCAACGAUACGUAGCCGACCUGAGAGGGUGAUCGGCCACACUGGAACUGAGACACGGUCCAGACUCCUACGGGAGGCAGCAGUAGGGAAUCUUCCGCAAUGGGCGAAAGCCUGACGGAGCAACGCCGCGUGAGUGAUGAAGGUCUUCGGAUCGUAAAACUCUGUUAUUAGGGAAGAACAAACGUGUAAGUAACUGUGCACGUCUUGACGGUACCUAAUCAGAAAGCCACGGCUAACUACGUGCCAGCAGCCGCGGUAAUACGUAGGUGGCAAGCGUUAUCCGGAAUUAUUGGGCGUAAAGCGCGCGUAGGCGGUUUUUUAAGUCUGAUGUGAAAGCCCACGGCUCAACCGUGGAGGG